AUGCUUGAAAUCACCUUCUGGAUUUUCCAGCAAAGCAAUGGACCAGCACACCACCACCCUGUCCUUUUGCUUCUUCAAUGAAAUCGAAGCAUUCCUCAAAGUAAUGUGAAAUAUUUACAUCAACUCUGUCAUGAACAGAAAGGACUUUGUAGACAAACUCAUUUGGAUAAGGAGGAUUUAUAUCUCUAGCAAUCGUCAAAAUAUGAGUUAGAUUCAAGCUUUUGAGUGCAACUUUAUUGUUGGCAGCUCCAAGGGACCCUAAAUAGAGACCCUCUUCAAUCAUACAAGGAUUCUUAUCUUCUCGAAUGAUUUUUGCUACAGACAUUGCGCGCAUUAGAGCUUCAAUUUGCCCAUUAUAAUAGUCCAGAGCUUGAGCCAUUUCUCGGUUUCUUCCUUGAAAUAGCUUGAACUUUCUCGCUGCGAAUUUGCAGAGAAAUAAUAUUACAUUAAAG
rnacentral:misc_RNA from 1 species